UACAGAGGGGGCAAGCGUUGUUCGGAAUUACUGGGCGUAAAGGGCGCGUAGGCGGCCCGCUAAGUCGAACGUGAAAUCCCCGAGCUCAACUCGGGAACUGCGUCCGAUACUGGCGGGCUUGAAUCCGGGAGAGGGAUGCGGAAUUCCAGGUGUAGCGGUGAAAUGCGUAGAUAUCUGGAGGAACACCGGUGGCGAAGGCGGGUCUCUGGGCAGUAACUGACGCUGAGGAGCGAAAGCGUGGGGAGCGAACAGG
rnacentral:rRNA from 1 species